GCAUAGUUAUUUGUCAAUUACGGUCCUCAAGAGGUCAAUUGAUUUGUAUUGGAUCGUUUGGUUGCUGUGUCAUUGAUGUAUGCCCAACGUCACCUUAUAUUCAUGAAACAAAAUCACAUGAUAUCGAUGAUAAUAAAUUAAAAUCAGACGUUGUAUCAUUUUCCAAUGAAUACAAAUAAGUCAUAAAAGAUAUAAGUAAUAAUUCCAAAAUGUAAUGCGUAAAUCAAUACGUCACUGUAUAUUUUGUCGAUUGUAUACAUAUGAUACAUAAUAAGUGUGAACUUUAUAAUCAAUUAUAUGAAACUUUGCAUAUUAGAAAGAAACAAAAAUAUUGUAAAAAGCUCAAAUCCUAUAUCACAUCUUAAGUCAAGGAUGUACGCCUGGCGUGUAGUAGGGUGGAGGAUUUGCAGUUGCUCCAAAAUCGAUGAGAUGUGAUUGCUCAGUCGAUGGUGCAGUUGGUUGCGCAUGCGUCUGAUAAUGUGCCCUUGUAAAUUGAGGGACGAAAUGUAAGGGUUGAGGCAAUCCGUUAGAAGCAGUUGGUUGUUUAGGAAGUUUUGUUGCAUCAUACUCCUGCAAAAUCCGGAAAUAUUCACCAUCUGGACUUUG
rnacentral:lncRNA from 1 species